rnacentral:rRNA from 1 species
UGGCAGACGGGUGAGUAACAUGUGGGUAUCUACCCUUUGGCCUGGAAUAACACGAGGAAACUUGUGCUAAUACCGGAUAAGUCUUUACGGAGAAAGCUUUAUGCACCAUUGGAUGAGCCCGCACUUGAUUAGUUUGUUGGUAGGGUAAUGGCCUACCAAGACUAUGAUCAAUAGCUGAUUUGAGAGGAUGAUCAGCCACAUUGGGACUGAGACACGGCCCAAACUCCUACGGGAGGCAGCAGUGGGGAAUCUUGCACAAUGGAGGAAACUCUGAUGCAGCGAUGCCGCGUGAGUGAAGAAGGCCUUUGGGUUGUAAAGCUCUUUCGUCGGGGAAGAAAAUGACUGUACCCGAAUAAGAAGGUCCGGCUAACUUCGUGCCAGCAGCCGCGGUAAUACGAAGGGACCUAGCGUAGUUCGGAAUUACUGGGCUUAAAGAGUUCGUAGGUGGUUGAAAAAGUUGGUGGUGAAAUCCCAGAGCUUAACUCUGGAACUGCCAUCA